UCAUGCAUCUUAUGAGAAGUUAGUUUAAUUCCAUACCAUGAUAGAAGUCUUAACCUUGUGAUCAGGUUUGUUAAUUUGCCUUAUGUCUGCUCUCAUAUCUGCCUUUUCAACUUCAACAAACUUUUCAUCUUCUACAAGCAUUAAUUCAUACUCAUACCUAUUUACUUACAUUGCACGUUUGCAAUGAAUCUGCCUUUCCAACUUCCCCUACUUUUAAUCAUGACUCAGCCUUCACGUUGUUCGAAUAGUCACAUCCCACUUCUCAAUCAAUGCAAAACAGUUAUUGAGCCACUCCAACAGCCGUCAAUUACCACGCAUUCGAAUCGCAAGUCAUCAUCGUUUCAAUACCUGCUUCCUGAAUCCUUCUCGCCAGAACAAAAAAACGCAUUUGACACUCUGAGUUCAUCUGCAGCAAUUAACCCACUCAACGUUAUCGCCAUGAGUUCGCAAUCCUCGAUUGAUUCUAGCGUUGUACCACCAAAAUUAAUGGGAACUACAAUCACAUACCAAUUUGUCACUGCAUUCCAUAAUGACAGAAAGCUCAUUGAAAUUCCAUCAUUUUACCACAAAUAAUGGGCUCCUCACUAUCCAUCGGUAGUGCUUUUCGCAUACAAUGGAUGCAAAUAUCCUAUAAAGGUCAGGAAAUACCACAACAAAUACUUCUUCGCUGAUGGAUUAAAGCAAUUCUGAAAAGAAUUGAACAUUCCACAAGGUAUCACCAUUACUUACAUUGUUAUCGACAAAAAUUGGAUCUUCAACCUUCACUUCAUGCCACCCCUAGAUUAUUAAACAUGUGGAAGGCCUCCAGCAACCCAAAGAACAUAUGUAUUGGUACUCCCACCCACUGCUCUACCCUAUCUUGAUGCCUCAGCUCCGAAUAUGACAAUCCUCAAAAAUCAUGGCCAUCCUCUUCAAUGGAAGUUGACCCUCAACGAUCCUGACUUUGGUCAAUAAUGUAUUACUAACCCAUGGUAUCAAUAUCUGGAAAAUAAUGGCUUCAGCCUUGGAGAUGAGAUAUCCUUCUACUUCAGGACUUAGCAAAGAAUAUGGGAAUUGGUUAUCAGAAAGCAACAACAUUGGGAUGAUACGAAUGCUAGUCGCUAUUCAUGACUUAGUUUUGUAUUGAAUAUUUGCAUGAAAUUAGCGCCUUACCUCCAAUUUAUGGUUCUUUUUGUAGGAAUUGUACAUAUUUUCAUGUUUAAUGUGAUUUUAUAUAAUAGAUACUCUCAUUUUAUGAAUUAAUGUUGAAACCACUUUAGUUUCAGGCCAAAAGAAGAGAAGGCUCAAGUAGUUGAAGACUCGCUAAGCACGGUAGAUCUGCUUAGUGAGUGGCAUCCGCUAAGCGAGGCAUACAACUCGCUUAGCAGGUUGGAAAACCUUAGAAGAGGAUCAGUCAGAGAUGUGCUCGCCCAGUGCGUCGCCAGCCCGCCCAACGAGGUCGUUGUCCCUUCUCGCACUUAGUGCGCCCAGCUCGCUAAGCCAAAUUCACUUACUCUCGCUUAGUGAGCCAAUCUCGCUAAGCGAGCCUUCAGAAGCUAAAACGUCAAAUGAGCCUUUAAAACACUGAAGUUGACAGAAACUAAGGAGAGAGUCGAAAAACAAAGCAAAAGGGGAAGCUGGAGUGACAAAGAGAGAGCAGGUAAGAGAGCUUAGGUUAGAGGAGUGAAAUUAGGAUUUUAGAGGUUGGAGGAGACAUCUUCUACCACUCUUUGCCAUUUUCUUUCACCUAACUUUGUUCCUUCUUUGUAUUGAGAGCAUAUUUCUUGUAAUGGAAGGCUAAGCCUCUUAGUUGAGAAGUUCUGUCGAACCCUUGAUAUAACACUCUUUCACUAUCUAUUUAAUGUUUGUUUUUAUGUGUUC